rnacentral:rRNA from 1 species
AAAUUGAAGAGUUUGAUCAUGGCUCAGAUUGAACGCUGGCGGCAGGCCUAACACAUGCAAGUCGAGCGGAAACGAGUUAUCUGAACCUUCGGGGAACGAUAGCGGCGUCGAGCGGCGGACGGGUGAGUAAUGCCUAGGAAAUUGCCCUGAUGUGGGGGAUAACCAUUGGAAACGAUGGCUAAUACCGCAUGAUGCCUACGGGCCAAAGAGGGGGACCUUCGGGCCUCUCGCGUCAGGAUAUGCCUAGGUGGGAUUAGCUAGUUGGUGAGGUAAGGGCUCACCAAGGCGACGAUCCCUAGCUGGUCUGAGAGGAUGAUCAGCCACACUGGAACUGAGACACGGUCCAGACUC